rnacentral:rRNA from 1 species
GACAGAGGAGCCAAGCGUUGUCCGGAUUGACUGGGCGUAAAGGGCACGCAGGUGGUCGCGCAAGUGUGAUGUGAAAGCGGCUCGCUUAACGAGCCGAGGCCAUCGCCGACUGCGUAACUCGAGCGCGAGAGAGGUCCGUGGAAUUGCCGGUGUAGUGGUGAAAUGCGUAGAGAUCAGGCAGAACACCUGGGGCGAAGGCGGCCGGCUGG